rnacentral:rRNA from 1 species
AUCGGAACGUACCGUGUAGUGGGGGAUAACGUAGCGAAAGUUACGCUAAUACCGCAUACGAUCUACGGAUGAAAGCAGGGGACCUUCGGGCCUUGUGCUAUACGAGCGGCCGAUGUCUGAUUAGCUAGUUGGUGAGGUAAAGGCUCACCAAGGCGACGAUCAGUAGCGGGUCUGAGAGGAUGAUCCGCCACACUGGGACUGAGACACGGCCCAGACUCCUACGGGAGGCAGCAGUGGGGAAUUUUGGACAAUGGGCGCAAGCCUGAUCCAGCCAUGCCGCGUGUCUGAAGAAGGCCUUCGGGUUGUAAAGGACUUUUGUCAGGGAGCAAAACUUACUGGUUAAUACCCGGUGAGGCUGAGAGUACCUGAAGAAUAAGCACCGGCUAACUACGUGCCAGCAGCCGCGGUAAUACGUAGGGUGCAAGCGUUAAUCGGAAUUACUGGGCGUAAAGCGUGCGCAGGCGGACUUUUAAGCCAGAUGUGAAAGCCCCGAGCUUAACUUGGGAAUUGCGUUUGGAACUGGGAGUCUAGAGUCUGUCAGAGGGGGAUGGAAUUCCACGUGUAGCAGUGAAAUGCGUAGAGAUGUGGAGGAACACCGAUGGCGAAGGCAGUCCCCUGGGAUAAGACUGACGCUC